rnacentral:rRNA from 1 species
GAUGAACGCUGGCGGCGUGCCUAAUACAUGCAAGUCGAGCGAACGGACGAGAAGCUUGCUUCUCUGAUGUUAGCGGCGGACGGGUGAGUAACACGUGGAUAACCUACCUAUAAGACUGGGAUAACUUCGGGAAACCGGAGCUAAUACCGGAUAAUAUUUUGAACCGCAUGGUUCAAAAGUGAAAGACGGUCUUGCUGUCACUUAUAGAUGGAUCCGCGCUGCAUUAGCUAGUUGGUAAGGUAACGGCUUACCAAGGCAACGGUGCAUAGCCGACCUGAGAGGGGGUUCGGCCACCGUGGAACUGAGACCCGGUCCAGACCCCGAGGGGAGGCACAGAUGGGUAAGCUUCCCAGAUGGGCGAAAGCCUGCCGGAGCAACGCCGGGGGGGUGAAGAAGGUUUUCGGAUGGUAAAACUUUUUUAUUGGGGAAGAACAUAUUUGUAAGUAACGGUGCAAGUCUUGCGGUAACCUAUUAAGAAAGCCCCGGCAAAUUAGGU